GAAAUGCGAUAAGUAAUGUGAAUUGCAGAAUUCCGUGAAUCAUCGAAUCUUUGAACGCACAUUGCACCCUCUGGCAUUCCGGGGGACAUGCCUGUCCGAGCGUCAUUACGCACCCUCAAGCCCGGCUUGUGUGAUGGGCCCUGGCGUCUCGUUCGCGAGACGGGCCCGAAAGGCAGCGGCGGCGUCGACCCGAUGAGCCCGAGCGUAUGGGGACUUUUGUCACACGUUUGCGGUGCGGACCGGCGCCUGCUUGACUUUUCUGAUUAUCCAGGUUGACCUCGGAUCAGGUAGGGAUACCCGCUGAACUUAAGC
rnacentral:misc_RNA from 1 species